rnacentral:rRNA from 1 species
CUCGCGUGUCGUGUCAGCAGCCGCGGUAAUACAGAGGUGCAAGCGUUAAUCGGAAUUACUGGGCGUAAAGCGCGCGUAGGUGGUUUGUAAGUUUGGAUGUGAAAAUCCCCCGGGNUCAACCUGGGAACUGCAUCCAAAAACUGGCAAGCUAGAGUAGUGGUAGAGGGGUGGUGGAAUUUCCUGUGUAGCGGUGAAAUGCGUAGAAUAUAGGAAGGACACCAGUGGCGAAGGCGACCACCUGGACUGAUACUGACACUGAGGUGCGAAAGCGUGGGGAGCAAACAGGACUUAGAUACCCCUGGUACGUACCACGCCGUAAACGAUGUCAACUAGCCGUUGGGAG